GGCCCCUUGGUCAAGCGGUUAAGACAUCGCCCUUUCACGGCGGAGACAUGGGUUCGAUUCCCGUAGGGGUCA
rfam:Clostridium sp. CAG:575 genomic scaffold, scf159